UAGUCAACUCUAUUGUAAAGUGGCUGGCAAGGUUGUACGUCCUGUAGUCAACUCUAUUGUAAAGUGGCUGGCGAGUUUGUACGUCCUGUAGUCAACUCUAUUGUAAAGUGGCUGGCGAGUUUGUACGUCCUGUAGUCAACUCUAUUGUAAAGUGGCUGGCGAGUUUGUACGUCCUGUAGUCAACUCUAUUGUAAAGUGGCUGGCAAGUUUGUACGUCCUGUAGUCAACUCUAUUGUAAAGUGGCUGGCAAGUUUGUACGUCCUGUAGUCAACUCUAUUGUAAAGUGGCUGGCAAGUUUGUACGUCCUGUAGUCAACUCUAUUGUAAAGUGGCUGGCGAGUUUGUACGUCCUGUAGUCAACUCUAUUGUAAAGUGGCUGGCGAGUUUGUACGUCCUGUAGUCAACUCUAUUGUAAAGUGGCUGGCGAGUUUGUACGUCCUGUAGUCAACUCUAUUGUAAAGUGGCUGGCAAGUUUGUACGUCCUGUAGUCAACUCUAUUGUAAAGUGGCUGGCGAGUUUGUACGUCCUGUAGUCAACUCUAUUGUAAAGUGGCUGGCGAGUUUGUACGUCCUGUAGUCAACUCUAUUGUAAAGUGGCUGGCGAGUUUGUACGUCCUGUAGUCAACUCUAUUGUAAAGUGGCUGGCAAGUUUGUACGUCCUGUAGUCAACUCUAUUGUAAAGUGGCUGGCGAGUUUGUACGUCCUGUAGUCAACUCUAUUGUAAAGUGGCUGGCAAGUUUGUUCUUCCUAAAUGUCAUUCUAUUGUAAAGUAAUUGGCAUUUCUUACUUUUAAAUCUUAAUUUGCAAGGGGUUUGAUUUUGCUAAUUUUAAGAUUAUAGAAUUGUAAAAACAUUCCCUUUAGUAAAUGCUUUAUUUUAGGAAUAUAAGAAU